GAAAUAAAUGCUUCUUGUUCUUGACGAUAAUUAUUCUUAUUCCACGAGUUUGACAUGUUGUAUAAAGUGAAUAUUUAUUUUUCCUGAUAAGAAAUUUAAAAAGAAAUAUUAUUGGAUAUAAUUUCAAACGAAAUAUCACAAGAAAUACCAAAGAAAACGACAAAGAAAUUUUUUAUGAAAGAAGAUUAAUGAAAUAAAUUCAUUAAAAAAUAUAAAACCAAUACAUUGAUUAAUAU